UCUUCUUCAGGAAUGGCAGGAGGGGCAACACCACGGAGCCUGGUCCGUAGUUGAUUAGGGUGACUGCGGAGGCAGCAGCUGCGGCGGCGGGGGCAGAGUCCCAGCAAAAGCAACACCAUUUUCUAUAUGCGCAACUCUCUGUUGAAGAUUCCAACGUAGGAUUUGCUGCUGUUCUCCAGUUUGCAUUCCCUCCAUUUAUAUCGAAGAAGUACCUCCUACAAAGGACUAGUCAGAGAAGGGUGUGGCCUCGUAUCUAAUUACUCAGGAAAACGAUGACUUUAUCCAGCUUUGAUGUGACUGGGGUGACUGAUGCAGACAAGAG
rnacentral:lncRNA from 1 species